AUUGAACGCUGGCGGCAGGCCUAACACAUGCAAGUCGAGCGAGCGGCGGACGGGUGAGUAAUGUAUGGGGACUGCCCGCUAGAGGGGGAUAACUACUGGAAACGGUGGCUAAUACCGCAUACUAUCGGAUAACCCAUAUGGGAUUAGCUAGUAGGUGGGGUAAAGGCUCACCUAGGCGACGAUCUCUAGCGGGUCUGAGAGGAUGAUCAGCCAUCGUCGGACUGAGAAAGGGCCAAGACUCCUGCGGAGGCAGGAGGUGGGAAGAGUUGACAAUUGGCGAGAGGCGGAUGCAGCCGUGUGGCGUGUAGGAAGAGGGUCUUAGGGUUUGUAAGUACUUUCAGCGGGGAGGCGUUACCUGCAGAAGAAGCACCGGCUAACUCCGUGCCAGCAGCCGCGGUAAUUC
rnacentral:rRNA from 1 species